UGGGGAAUAUUGGACAAUGGGCGCAAGCCUGAUCCAGCAAUGCCGCGUGAGUGAUGAAGGCCUUAGGGUUGUAAAGCUCUUUUACCAGGGAUGAUAAUGACAGUACCUGGAGAAUAAGCUCCGGCUAACUCCGUGCCAGCAGCCGCGGUCAUACGGAGGGAGCUAGCGUUGUUCGGAAUUACUGGGCGUAAAGCGCGCGUAGGCGGCUUAUCAAGUCAGGGGUGAAAUCCCGGGGCUCAACCCCGGAACUGCCCUUGAAACUGGUAAGCUAGAAUCUUGGAGAGGUCAGUGGAAUUCCGAGUGUAGAGGUGAAAUUCGUAGAUAUUCGGAAGAACACCAGUGGCGAAGGCGACUGACUGGACAAGUAUUGACGCUGAGGUGCGAAAGCGUGGGGAGCAAACA
rnacentral:rRNA from 1 species